CCUAACUAGCAAUCAAAGCCACUCACAACUUUUUGCACCAACACCCAAGUUAUUAAAAAUAAAUUGUUUCUUUUUGUGCCAUGACAGUGGACUCAAUAUCUUGUGACAUCUAGUUCUUGCACCAUACUCCAAGCAUUGACGUCUACUUGACCCUUGACGCAACUUCCUUCAAGCUGUUAGCAACAUUCCCCUCUCCGAGCAUCAAUAAUUUGUGCCACCAUAUACCCUUGUUGCGCCAUAUACUUCCACUUGCUCCACAUCAAUCCCUCUUGCGCGAACAUCACCUCUUGUGCCAUACCAACAUCCUACUUACGUCAUCCCUUCUCAACCCUCGUGAGCAUCAUCCCUUUCCUAAUUUUUUUGGUGCAUCAUCUUUUCAGCCUUCUCCUACCAAAAACACUCUCUUGCGCCUUCAGCUUUCUCCAUCUCUAAUCCCCUCUUGCGCGAUCAGUACUUAUCACACUACAAGGAUCUAACCCUUUGCAGACGACAACUAUCCAGACGACAUAUGUCGUUGAGCAGAAAAGAUAUACAGACGACAAGUCGGCUGCAUAGGCUCGGCCGAAAGGGGCGAAUUUUUUGUGGUAUAUCGAAUUUCUAUAUCGACGACAUGUCGUCGGGAGGAGGAAUUAAAAAAAUAUUUUCGAUUUAUUUUACAGAAAAUCAAUACGAUGCCGUUUUGGUCAGCCUAUGCAGACGAGAUGUCGUCGCUAUAGGGUGCUUAAAAAUUAAUUUCGAUUUAUUUUUUAUCCGUCUUGGAGAAAUGGAAUAAGAUGUCGUUUUGGUCAAGCUAUCUAGACGACAUGUCGUUUGGAAAAGGAGGGAACGAUCCGCAUUAAAACGCUUUCUUAUUUUAUUUUAUUUUUUAAUGACGUGAAGUAAAACGACCCCAUUUUCGUUUACCUAUAGAGACGACAUGUCGUCUCUAUAGGGUUUUGUUGUAAUAAAAACGCUUUCAGUCUUCAUUUUCCAGUCGACUGCCCCUUCCAUUUUCCUCUCAAGCUUUGGCGUCGUUCCCAGGCAUUUUCCGGUGUUCCACUUCUUCGGCCAGCUAAAAGGGGAUUUGUUUCUGGGUUUGGAGCCCUAAAACGCUUCCGCCGGCCGGACAAGAACGGUGAACACCGCCAUAGAAAACGAUUUCCGAGUAUACGAUUAUCUUCUUCACCCACCAUAGUCGAAAUGCACAACCACAAGAUAGCCACCUCCACCGUAUACAAAUACGUACCAACAGAUCACACCACCGGCGACACCGUUGUUUUUCCCCUUCCAGCAUCCAAACCCUAAAUCUGAAACAGUAACCACUAUCCUAAUUUUGGUCAAUUAAGAAACCAGUGUUCGAUUUUGGUUCCAAUUUCCCUAUGAACGAAUUGUUGUUCAUCGUGUCACACAAAUAAUGGAAGAUGGUGUUGGCGGAAUUAGGGGAGCAUUUCACGUGCUCUCCAGCAGAUGAGCAAUGCCACGAUCAUCGAUGAGAAGGUCCUUAAUGAUUGUUUAAACGAGAUCACGCGCGCUCUUCUUCAAUCCGAUGCUCAGUUUAAGCUCGUUCGAAGAUCGUCAAUCUCGAUGAUCUCGCUGCAGGUCAUAACAAGCGAAGAAUCAUCCAGCAGGCCAUAUUUACCAUGCUCUGCAAGAUGUUAGAUCUUGGGAAGCCAUCUUUCACACCCAAGAAAAGGAAACCACGUGUUGUCAUGUUUGUAGGCUUAUAAGGGUCUGGAAAAACUACUACAUGUACAAAAUAUGCCUAUUACCACCAAAAGAAGGGCUGGAAACCAUCUUUGGUAUGUGCAAAUACAUUUAGAGUCGGUGCCUUUGAUCAACUGAAGCGGAAUGCAAAUGG